rnacentral:lncRNA from 1 species
CUAUAAUAAAAUGUACAACAGGAUAUAUAGACUGUGUUCCCUAUAAUAAAAUAUACAACAGGAUAUAUAGACUGUGUUCCCUAUAAUAAAAUAUACAACAGGAUAUAUAGACUGUGUUCUCUAUAAUAUAAUAUACAACAGGAUAUAUAGACUGUGUUCCCUAUAAUAAAAUGUACAACAGGAUAUAUAGACUGUGUUCCCUAUAAUAAAAUAUACAACAGGAUAUAUAGACUUUUUCCCUAUAAUAAAAUAUACAACAGGAUAUAUAGACUGUGUUCUCUAUAAUAUAAUAUACAACAGGAUAUAUAGACUGUGUUCCCUAUAAUAUAAUAUACAACAGGAUAUAUAGACUGUGUUCCCUAUAAUAAAAUAUACAACAGGAUAUAUAGACUGUGUUCUCUAUAAUAUAAUAUACAACAGGAUAUAUAGACUGUGUUCCCUAUAAUAUAAUAUACAACAGGAUAUAUAGACUGUGUUCUCUAUAAUAUAAUAUACAACAGGAUAUAUAGACUGUGUUCCCUAUAAUAUAAUAUACAACAGGAUAUAUAGACUGUGUUCCCUAUAAUAAAAUAUACAACAGGAUAUAUAGACUGUGUUCUCUAUAAUAAAAUGUACAACAGGAUAUACAGACUGUGUUCCCUAUAAUAAAAUAUACAACAGGAUAUAUAGACUGUGUUCUCUAUAAUAAAAUCUACAACAGGAUAUAUAGACUGUGUUCCCUAUAAUAUACAACAGGAUAUAUAGACUGUGUUCCCUAUAAUAAAAUAUACAACAGGAUAUAUAGACUUUGUUCCCUAUAAUAUACAACAGGAUAUAUAGACUGUGUUCCCUAUAAUAAAAUAUACAACAGGAUAUAUAGACUGUGUUCCCUAUAAUAAAAUAUACAACAGGAUAUAUAGACUGUGUUCUCUAUAAUAAAAUAUACAACAGGAUAUAUAGACUGUGUUCCCUAUAAUAUACAACAGGAUAUAUAGACUGUGUUCCCUAUAAUAAAAUAUACAACAGGAUAUAUAGACUGUGUUCUCUAUAAUAAAAUGUACAACAGGAUAUAUAGACUGUGUUCCCUAUAAUAAAAUAUACAACAGGAUAUAUAGACUGUGUUCUCUAUAAUAAAAUCUACAACAGGAUAUAUAGACUGUGUUCCCUAUAAUAUACAACAGGAUAUAUAGACUGUGUUCCCUAUAAUAAAAUAUACAACAGGAUAUAUAGACUGUGUUCCCUAUAAUAUACAACAGGAUAUAUAGACUGUGUUCCCUAUAAUAAAAUAUACAACAGGAUAUAUAGACUGUGUUCCCUAUAAUAAAAUGUACAACAGGAUAUAUAGACUGUGUUCCCUAUAAUAAAAUAUACAACAGGAUAUAUAGACUGUGUUCCCUAUAAUAAAAUAUACAACAGGAUAUAUAGACUGUGUUCUCUAUAAUAUAAUAUACAACAGGAUAUAUAGACUGUGUUCCCUAUAAUAAAAUGUACAACAGGAUAUAUAGACUGUGUUCCCUAUAAUAAAAUAUACAACAGGAUAUAUAGACUGUGUUCCCUAUAAUAAAAUAUACAACAGGAUAUAUAGACUGUGUUCUCUAUAAUAUAAUAUACAACAGGAUAUAUAGACUGUGUUCCCUAUAAUAUAAUAUACAACAGGAUAUAUAGACUGUGUUCCCUAUAAUAAAAUAUACAACAGGAUAUAUAGACUGUGUUCUCUAUAAUAUAAUAUACAACAGGAUAUAUAGACUGUGUUCCCUAUAAUAUAAUAUACAACAGGAUAUAUAGACUGUGUUCUCUAUAAUAUAAUAUACAACAGGAUAUAUAGACUGUGUUCCCUAUAAUAUAAUAUACAACAGGAUAUAUAGACUGUGUUCCCUAUAAUAAAAUAUACAACAGGAUACGAAGAAAGGUCUUCAGACUAAACUUUGUUGACAGGAAACUACGCUCUAGUGCCCCCACAACGCCUGAUGUCUCUCCCUUCAUCCCUCCAUCUUCCUCCCUCUGUCAUCUCCUUUCAUCCCUCCAUCUUCCUCCCUCUGUCAUCUCCCUUCAUCCCUCCAUAUUCCUCCCUCUGUCAUCUCUCUUCCUCCCUCCAUCUUCUCUCUUACUCCCAUUCAAACCUCCAGCAACAUCUUACCACCUUUCCCUCUAUCUCUCUUUCCCUCGUCAUCUCCCUCUGUGCCUCGUCAUCUCCCUCUGUCCCUCGUCAUCUCUAUCUUUCCCUCGUCAUCUCCCUCUGUCCCUCGUCAUCUCCCUCUGUCCCUCGUCUUCUCUCUCUGUCCCUCGUCAUCUCUCUCUUUCCCUCGUCAUCUCCCUCUGUCCCUCGUCAUCUCUCUCUGUCCCUCGUCAUCUCCCUCUGUCCCUCGUCAUCUCUCUCUGUCCCUCGUCAUCUCCCUCUGUCCCUCGUCAUCUCUCUCUGUCCCUCGUCAUCUCCCUCUGUCCCUCGUCAUCUCCCUCUGUCCCUCGUCAUCUCCCUCUGUCCCUCGUCAUCUCUCUCUGCAUCCUUCUGUCUCCUUCCAUCCCUCUCCCCCUCACACCUCAAGGGACAUAUUUAUCAAAUUUAUCUCUCAACAUGCUUCCUUAACCUUACUGUAAUCCCCCUCUCUUUAUAUCUCUCCAUCUCUCCCUCAUCCCUCCAUCUCAUCCUCCAUCCUUCCAUCUCUUCCUCCAUUCAUCUCUCACAACCAGCCCCAUAAUAUAGAGAUGAGUACUGCCUUAUCACAACCAGCCCCAUAAUAUAGAGGUGAGUACUGCCUUAUCACAACCAGCCCCAUAAUGCAGAGAGGAGUACUGCCUUAUCACAACCAGCCCCAUAAUAUAGAGAGGAGUACUGCCUUAUGACAACCAGCCCCAUAAUAUAGAGAUGAGUACUGCCUUAUCACUGACAAUGGGAAAUGAAAGGUAAAUAUUUGUAAAGAAAAUGAAAAAUAAGUAACUUUGUUAGACAAUAGUAGGUGUAUAAAUGAUUUAUUAUAUAUUUAAUAUAUGUACUUAGAGAUCCAGUUGUUUCUUUAUAAUGGUCAGUAUAUUGUGUAAACAAUUAUUAUGAGACUUAUGAAACCAUUCAAAAUGCAUGCAAGUCUGAGAUGUCUCUGACCCCUCACAGUAGAGGUUGGCAGCCAUUUAUACAAGGAAUUGAUUUUUAAUUCCAUUUCAAGCGGACCUUCCCAAGUCUGAGCGUGGCUCUACCUGACUGAUCUGUUAGAUGAACUGAUGAAUAAUAUUCACAACUCUAAAUGUAAUUUGUGUCUAGAUUCAACAGGGAUGUUGGCCCAUGUUGACUCCAAUGCUUCCCACAGUGGUGUCAAGUGUCAAGGCUGGAUGUCCUUUGGGUGGUGGACCAUUCUUCAUACACACGGGAAACUGUUGAAUGUGGGAAAACCCAGCAGCGUUGCAGUUCUUGACACACUCAAACCGGUGCGCCUGGCACCUAUUACCAUAACUCGGUGGUAUGGUAUCAAUCAACUCUCUUCAUUAAAAUAUUGACUUUAAAACUAUGCCUCUGAUGUGUUUCUUCAUCACCAACAGGAAAUACUAGUUUAAGUAUAGUGACAGUUUGUUUCCCAACAGGAAAGACUAGUUUAAGUAUAGUGACAGUUUGUUACCCAACAGGAAAGACUAGUUUAAGUAUAGUGACAGUUUGU